rnacentral:rRNA from 1 species
AUGGAUGAGCACCUCCUCAAGGCCAAGCAGGCGUGGUGCUCCGGCAGUCUGGCCUCCUCGGCGUCGACGCAAUGUGCAUCCAUUCAGAUAUUGCGUAGGAGGUUGAGGCACAUGAGGGCCGUCAGUGAGCUUAAAGCUCUGUUGCUAUUCAACGGUCUCAGAAAUCUCUUCAAAUAA